AGAGUUUGAUCCUGGCUCAGGACGUACGCUGGCGGCACGCCUAAUACAUGCAAGUCGAACGAAGUAGCAAUACUUAGUGGCAGACGGGUGAGUAACAUGUGGGUAUCUUCCCUUUGGUGAGGAAUAACACGAGGAAACUUGUGCUAAUACCUCAUAAGUCUUUACGGAGAAAGCUUUAUGCGCCAUUGGAUGAGCCCGCACUUGAUUAGUUUGUUGGUGGGGUAAUGGCCUACCAAGACAAUGAUCAAUAGCUGAUUUGAGAGGAUGAUCAGCCACAUUGGGACUGAGACACGGCCCAAACUUCUACGGAAGGCAGCAGUAGGGAAUCUUGCACAAUGGAGGAAACUCUGAUGCAGCGAUGCCGCGUGAGUGAAGAAGGCCCUUGGGUUGUAAAGCUCUUUCGUCGGGGAAGAAAAUGACUGUACCCGAAUAAGAAGGUCCGGCUAACUUCGUGCCAGCAGCCGCGGUAAUACGAAGGGACCUAGCGUAGUUCGGAAUUACUGGGCUUAAAGAGUUCGUAGGUGGUUAAAAAAGUUGGUGGUGAAAUCCCAGAGCUUAACUCUGGAACUGCCAUCAAAACUUUUUAGCUAGAGUAUGAUAGAGGAAAGCAGAAUUUCUAGUGUAGAGGUGAAAUUCGUAGAUAUUAGAAAGAAUACCAAUUGCGAAGGCAGCUUUCUGGAUCAUUACUGACACUGAGGAACGAAAGCAUGGGUAGCGAAGAGGAUUAGAUACCCUCGUAGUCCAUGCCGUAAACGAUGUGUGUUAGACGUUGGAAAUUUAUUUUCAGUGUCGCAGCGAAAGCAAUAAACACACCGCCUGGGGAGUACGACCGCAAGGUUAAAACUCAAAUGAAUUGACGGGGACCCGCACAAGUAGUGGAGCAUGUGGUUUAAUUCGAAGAUACGCGCAGAACCUUACCAACACUUGACAUGUUCGUCGCGACUCUAAGAGAUUAGAGUUUUCGGUUCGGCCGGACGGAACACAGGUGCUGCAUGGCUGUCGUCAGCUCGUGUCGUGAGAUGUUGGGUUAAGUCCCGCAACGAGCGCAACCCUUACUUUUAGUUGCCAUCAUUUAGUUGGGCACUCUGAAAGAACUGCCAGUGAUAAGCUGGAGGAAGGUGGGGAUGACGUCAAGUCCUCAUGGCCCUUACGUGUUGGGCUACACACGUGCUACAAUGGCAUUUACAAUAGGAAGCAAGACGGCGACGUCAAGCAAAUCCUAAAAAGAUGCCUCAGUUCGGAUUGUACUCUGCAACUCGAGUACAUGAAGCUGGAAUUACUAGUAAUCGCGGAUCAGCGCGCCGCGGUGAAUACGUUCCCGGGUCUUGUACACACCGCCCGUCACACCAUGGGAGUUGGUUCUACCUUAAGGCAAAGUUUAAAACCUUUGACCACGGUAUAGUCAGCGACUGGGGUGAAGUCGUAACAAGGUAACC
rnacentral:rRNA from 1 species